rnacentral:tRNA from 1 species
GGUAAAAUGGCUGAGUAAGGCAUUAGACUGUAAAUCUAAAAACAGAGGUUAAAUUCCUCUUUUUACCA